GCGAACGGGUGAGUAAUAUAUCGGAACAUGUCCGGAAGUGGGGGAUAACGUAGCGAAAGUUACGCUAAUACCGCAUAUGCCCUGAGGGGGAAAGGAGGGGAUCGCAAGACCUUUCGCUUUCGGAGUGGCCGAUAUCGGAUUAGCUAGUAGGUGGGGUAAAGGCUCACCUAGGCGACGAUCCGUAGCUGGUCUGAGAGGACGACCAGCCACACUGGGACUGAGACACGGCCCAGACCCCUACGGGAGGCAGCAGUGGGGAAUUUUGGACAAUGGGCGCAAGCCUGAUCCAGCCAUGCCGCGUGAGUGAAGAAGGCCUUCGGGUUGUAAAGCUCUUUCGGCCGGGAGGAAAUCGCAUCAGUUAAUACCUGGUGUGGAUGACAGUACCGGAAUAAGAGGCACCGGCUAACUACGUGCCAGCAGCCGCGGUAAUACGUAGGGUGCGAGCGUUAAUCGGAAUUACUGGGCGUAAAGCGUGCGCAGGCGGUUUUUUAAGACAGGCGUGAAAUCCUCGGGCUCAACCUGCGAACUGCGCUUGUGACUGGAAGGCUAGAGUAUGGCUGAGGGGGGUGGAAUUCCACGUGUAGCAUUGAAAUGCGUAGAGAUAUGGAGGAACACCGAUGGCGAAGGCAGCCCCCUGGGCCAAUACUGACGCUCAUGCACGAGAGCGUGGGGAGCACACAGGAUUAGAUACCCUGGUAGUCCACGCCCUAAACGAUGUCAACUGGAUGUUGGGUGGGUAAAACCAUUUAGUACCGGAGCUAACACGUGAAGUUGACCGCCCGGGGAGUACGGCCGCAAGGUCA
rnacentral:rRNA from 1 species